rnacentral:rRNA from 1 species
GAUGAACGCUAGCUACAGGCUUAACACAUGCAAGUCGAGGGGAAACGACAUCGAAAGCUUGCUUUUGAUGGGCGUCGACCGGCGCACGGGUGAGUAACGCGUAUCCAACCUGCCCACCACUUGGGGAUAACCUUGCGAAAGUAAGACUAAUACCCGAUGAUAUCCCUAGAAGACAUCUGAAAGGGAUUAAAGAUUUAUCGGUGAUGGAUGGGGAUGCGUCUGAUUAGCUUGUUGGCGGGUAACGGCCCACCGAGACGACGAUCAGUAGGGGUUCUGAGAGGAAAGUCCCCCACAUUGGAACUGAGACACGGUCCAAACUCCUACGGGAGGCAGCAGUGAGGAAUAUUGGUCAAUGGGCGAAGCCUGAACCAGCCAAGUAGCGUGCAGGACGACGGCCCUAUGGGUUGUAAACUGCUUUUAUAAGGGAAUAAAGUGAGUCUCGUGAGACUUUUUGCAUGUACCUUAUGAAUAAGGACCGGCUAAUUCCGU